CGCCUCUUGCCACACAAAGUAUAAGAGGUCCCGCCUGCCCUGUGAUCAUGAAUUUAACGGCCGCGGUAUUUUGACCGUGCAAAGGUAGCGCAAUCACUUGUCUUUUAAAUGGAGACCUGUAUGAAUGGCAUAACGAGGGCUUAACUGUCUCCCUUUUUUAGUCAAUGAAAUUGAUCUUCCCGUGCAGAAGCGGGAAUAAAAACAUAAGACGAGAAGACCCUGUGGAGCUUUAGACAAUAAAUAACACUCGUCAAAUACUCUUAACCAAAAAAUUGAACGAAAAGUGCUCUAUUUUGCUGUCUUUGGUUGGGGCGACCGCGGGGUAAAAAGAAACCCCCACGUGGCAUAGAAACACCCUUUCUUUAAUUAAGAGUGACAACCCUAAAUAUUAGAACAUCUAACCUACAAUGACCCGGCUCUGCUGCCGAUCAACGAAACUAGUUACCCCAGGGAUAACAGCGCAAUCCUUUCCCAGAGCCCAUAUCGACGAUAGGGUUUACGACCUCGAUGUUGGAUCAGGACAUCCUAAUGGUGCAGCAGCUAUUAAGGGUUCGUUUGUUCAACGAUUAAAGUCCU
rnacentral:rRNA from 1 species